GCACACUGACGACCCCCCCCAAACAGAAACAUCAGCGAGGACCCAUCCAUCUUUAAUAUACAGUCUGUAUACCCAUUCCAAAGUCGUCAUUUAAAACUGUGAUGAGCUGGAAUUUAAAGAUAAACAAACAACUCACUCAUCGCCUGCAGCAGGUUACGAACACAUUUAAGAUAACAGUUAUCCAGAUGACAGCACAGCCACCUCACUACAGGUUACUUCCUGUCAGGCCCUCAGCAGCUCAAAGCAGCACGGAUGCUCUGGUGUCAGGCCUGUGGUACAGACUCUUCCCUCAACAGUGCUUUGGGAGAAACCACAGGAUGGAUCAGAUAUUCACCAGGACGUCCUCCUGCCCAGAAAUAGCGAUCCCGCAGCUCUGUCCCUUUUAUUUCAACCAGGUCACCUACGUCCUUCCUACCACACCCCUGGGCAGCGGUAACCUCCAGCUGCAGUGCUUUAACUCAUGGGCAGACUUAAAAACAGAGACGCAAAGACCGGCUCUGCCGCGUCAGCUCGACUCAAGGGUUCGCCGAGAUGCUCGGCCCAGCACCGGCAUCCAUCUGAGUCGACUCUGUCAACUCCAGAAGCCAAAGAACGGCAGGAGUUUAUCCACACGGGACUACAUUUAUCUCAUCCAAGCAACAGUUCCCACCCAGAGAGAGAGUAUCAGGUCUAAACGGAUGCUUCAGUACGCACAAAGAUGA
rnacentral:lncRNA from 1 species